AGAACGAACGCUGGCGGCAUGCCUAACACAUGCAAGUCGAACGAGACCUUCGGGUCUAGUGGCGCACGGGUGCGUAACGCGUGGGAAUCUACCCUUGGGUUCGGAAUAACAGUUGGAAACGACUGCUAAUACCGGAUGAUGACGAAAGUCCAAAGAUUUAUCGCCAAGGGAUGAGCCCGCGUAGGAUUAGCUAGUUGGUGAGGUAAAGGCUCACCAAGGCGACGAUCCUUAGCUGGUCUGAGAGGAUGAUCAGCCACACUGGGACUGAGACACGGCCCAGACUCCUACGGGAGGCAGCAGUAGGAAUAUGGACAAUGGGCGAAAGCCUGAUCCAGCAAUGCCGCGUGAGUGAGUGAAGGCCGUUAGGUGUAAA
rnacentral:rRNA from 1 species